GGCUGCAACUCGCCUACAUGAAGUCGGAAUUGCUAGUAAUCGCGGAUCAGCAUGCCGCGGUGAAUACGUUCCCGGGCCUUGUACACACCGCCCGUCACACCAUGGGAGUCGGUAACACCCGAAGCCUGUAGUCUAACCGCAAGGAGGACGCAGUCGAAGGUGGGAUUGAUGACUGGGGUGAAGUCGUAACAAGGUAUC
rnacentral:rRNA from 1 species